rnacentral:rRNA from 1 species
CCUACGGGAGGCAGCAGUGGGGAAUAUUGGACAAUGGGCGAAACCUGAUCCAGCCAUGCCGCGUGUGUGAAGAGGUCUUCGGAUUGUAAGCACUUUAAGUUGGGAGGCGUUACCGACAGAAUAAGCACCGGCUAACUCUGUGCCAGCAGCCGCGGUAAUACAGAGGGUGCAAGCGUUAAUCGGAAUUACUGGGCGUAAAGCGCGCGUAGGUGGUUUGUUAAGUUGGAUGUGAAAUCCCCGGGCUCAACCUGGGAACUGCAUCCAAAACUGGCAAGCUAGAGUAUGGUAGAGGGUGGUGGAAUUUCCUGUGUAGCGGUGAAAUGCGUAGAUAUAGGAAGGAACACCAGUGGCGAAGGCGACCACCUGGACUGAACUGACACUGAGGUGCGAAAGCGUGGGGAGCAAACAGGAUUAGAUACCCUUGUAGUC